ACGUAGGAGGCAAACGUUAUCCGGAUUUACUGGGCGUAAAGCGCGGGUAGGCGGUACUGUAAGUAGGGCGUGAAAGCUCCUGGCUCAACUGGGAGAGGCCGUUCUAAACUACAGAACUAGAGGAUGGUAGAGGGAGGUGGAAUUCCAGGUGUAGCGGUGGAAUGCGCAGAUAUCUGGAGGAACACCGAUGGCGAAGGCAGCCUCCUGGACCAUUACUGACACUCAGACGCGAAGGUUAGGGUAGCAAACGG
rnacentral:rRNA from 1 species